UAGGGAAUCUUCCACAAUGGACGCAAGUCUGAUGGAGCAACGCCGCGUGAGUGAAGAAGGUUUUCGGACCGUAAAGCUCUGUUGUUGGUGAAGAAGGAUAGAGGUAGUAACUGGCCCUUUAUUUGACGGUAAUCAACCAGAAAGUCACGGCUAACUACGUGCCAGCAGCCGCGGUAAUCGUAGGUGGCAAGCGUUGUCCGGAUUUAUUGGGCGUAAAGCGAGCGCAGGCGGAAGAAUAAGUCUGAUGUGAAAGCCCUCGGCUUAACCGAGGAAUUGCAUCGGAAACUGUUUUCUUGAGUGCAGAAGAGGAGAGUAGAACUCCAUGUGUAGCGGUGGAAUGCGUAGAUAUAUGGAAGAAUACCAGUGGCGAAGGCGGCUCUCUGGUCUGCAACUGACGCUGAGGCUCGAAAGCAUGGGUAGCGAACAGGAUUAGAUACCCUGGUAGUCCAUGCCGUAAACGAUGAGUGCUAAGUGUUGGGAGGCUUCCGCCUCUCAGUGCUGCAGCUAACGCAUUAAGCACUCCGCCUGGGGGAGUACGACCGCAAGGUUGAA
rnacentral:rRNA from 1 species